rnacentral:rRNA from 1 species
CCUACGGGAGGCAGCAGUGAGGAAUAUUGGUCAAUGGGCGCGAGCCUGAACCAGCCAAGUAGCGUGAAGGAUGACUGCCCUACGGGUUGUACACUUCUUUUAUAAAGGAAUAAAGUGAGGAACGUGUGCCUUUUUGUAUUUACUUUAUGAAUAAGGAUCGGCUAACUCCGUUCCAGCAGCCGCGGUAAUACGGAGGAUCCGCGCGUUAUCCGGAUUUAUUGGGUUUAAAGGGAGCGUAGAUGGGUUGUUAAGUCAGUUGUGAAAGUUUGCGGCUCAACCGUAAAAUUGCAAUUGAUACUGGCAGCCUUGAGUACAGUUGAGGUAGGCGGAAUUCGUGGUGUAGCGGUGAAAUGCUUAGAUAUCACGAAGAACGCCGAUUGCGAAGGCAGCUUACUAAACUGCCACUGACAUUGAUGCUCGAAAGUGUGGGUAUCAAACAGGAUUAGAUACCCUUGUAGUC